GACGAACGCUGGCGGCGUGCUUAACACAUGCAAGUCGAACGGAAAGGCCCUGCUUUUGUGGGGUGCUCGAGUGGCGAACGGGUGAGUAACACGUGAGUAACCUGCCCUUGACUUUGGGAUAACUUCAGGAAACUGGGGCUAAUACCGGAUAGGAGCUCCUGCUGCAUGGUGGGGGUUGGAAAGUUUCGGCGGUUGGGGAUGGACUCGCGGCUUAUCAGCUUGUUGGUGGGGUAGUGGCUUACCAAGGCUUUGACGGGUAGCCGGCCUGAGGGGGUGACCGGCAAAAUGGGAAUGGGAAACGGGCCAGAAUUCUAAGGGAGGGAGGAGGGGGGAAUAAUGCAAAAAGGGCGGGAGCCUGGAGGAGGAACGGCGGGGGGGGGAAGAAGGGCUUUGGGGUGGAAACCGGUUUCGCCUGGGAAGAAGGGUGGGGGAAGGUAAAGGGUAAAGAAACAACGGCUAACUACGUG
rnacentral:rRNA from 1 species